rnacentral:rRNA from 1 species
AUGGCGGCCGCGACGGCGACCGCUGCCGCACCGGCCGUGUUCGCCCCGGCGCUCGUCUCUCCCCUAUCGCGCCGCGCCUUCUUCCCGCUCCCCCGUCGCGCCGGUCAGCCCGCCAUCCCUCGGUCGCUGCGACUCUUGGCGUCGGCGCCCCCGAGGAGAUGCGGGGUGGCCGUGAAUGCGGCGGCGGCAGGGGCCGCUGACUUCAACGACGAUGAGAGCUCUUAUGAGAUUCUGGGCAUUACCCCACUCGAUAGCUUCGACAACAUGAAGCUAGCAUACAAGAGGAAGCGCAAGGAAGCGGAGGAGACAGGAGAUGAGGACUUCUUGGCCAAGCUGGAGAAAGCGUAUGACACUGUGAUGAUGCAGCAGCUGCAGUAUAGGAAGAAGGGGGUCACAUAUGGAUCGGUUGAGGUAUCAAAGGAUAUCAAGUAUGCUGACAAUCAACCAAUAGUUCCUUGGGGACCUAGACCCUCCAAAUCAGCAGUAAAGGAUGUGCGCAUAAAUAUGGCAAUAUCAGCAGCAAUUGUUGUUUGCAUUGCUAUCAUCGGUAAUGCGGACUGGAAGCCUUUGCAGUUCUUGUGUUUUGCUUUCUUCUACAGAAUACUUCAGAAGCUGAGGGUUACUGAGCCACCAAUAACUCCAAUAUAUAAUGAGUAUGGUGAGGUUGAGGGAAGAGGGGUACGAAUGGCAAAACGUGUAUUCCGCGCUUUGGGUUUGAUAUUUGGAUGUGUAUUCGCUGCGUCCCUGGGUUAUACAAUAGCUCUUAACUUGGUUGAGUUAUCUUGGCAGCAGACUCCCCGUAUUGUUUAUUACUACCAGGAGUUGAUUGUUACAGCAGCUGCCUCUGUUCUGCUGUGCAUCACGGCUUCGUACUACCGAUAA